GAUGAACGCUGGCGGCGUGCCUAAUACAUGCAAGUCGAGCGAACAGACGAGGAGCUUGCUCCUCUGACGUUAGCGGCGGACGGGUGAGUAACACGUGGAUAACCUACCUAUAAGACUGGGAUAACUUCGGGAAACCGGAGCUAAUACCGGAUAAUAUAUUGAACCGCAUGGUUCAAUAGUGAAAGACGGUUUUGCUGUCACUUAUAGAUGGAUCCGCGCCGCAUUAGCUAGUUGGUAAGGUAACGGCUUACCAAGGCAACGAUGCGUAGCCGACCUGAGAGGGUGAUCGGCCACACUGGAACUGGGACACGGUCCAGACUCCUACGGGAGGCAGCAGUAGGGAAUCUUCCGCAAUGGGCGAAAGCCUGACGGAGCAACGCCGCGUGAGUGAUGAAGGUCUUCGGAUCGUAAAGCUCUGUUAUUAGGGAAGAACAAAUGUGUAAGUAACUAUGCACGUCUUGACGGUACCUAAUCAGAAAGCCACGGCUAACUACGUG
rnacentral:rRNA from 1 species